AUUUUACAUUCUUUGCGGGUAUACUAUGGUUUUGCUCAUUUAUCCACAUGAACUGGGAUAAAUAGAUGUCUUGGAGAUGCGAGCACAGCUGCAAUUUCAAAAUUAACAUCAUUGAGUGAUACAAAUCAAAAUGAAAGAUGUCGGCUUUUUCCAUCUCUGUCCCAGAUACACCAUUACUGCUUACUAGCCAUUCCGAUGAUAAUAUAGUUUUAGUUUGUCAUUGCAGAGCGAGAGAGGUUACAUCAUAUAGUCUUCAUUUUACCUCUGAGAGAUGACGACUAGAUCUUUGCUGUGGCAAAUGCGUCAACUUGCAACCUAAGACUAGGUUGUCUCACUGGCUGAUUGGUUUUUGGCCAGGAGCUUGAAUUGUUGCUUCAGUCGGACAUUCAAGUUGCCAGGGCCAAAGUGAGAAAAGAAUGCUGAAAUGUAGAUUUUUUUUCGAACAACAAUCUUGGAUAUCGACUGUAGCAGUGAGUCCAACUGGCUUGCUUAAGAAGGCAAGUUGAAGCAUCAAACAGAAAGGUGUUCUCCUGACUCCCGAAUUCUUUUCAUGUCGAACUGCAAUAUUUUCAUCCAGUUCAGCAAUAGCAGGGUCUUCAGGUUUAUCUAGAAGCCCGAAUGCUUAUUGCGGAAAACAAUUCCCAGGAGAAUUAUCAUGAUACCAAGUCAAAUAAUGAAGCUAAGUACAUGAUCUACAGUAUAACUUAAGACUGCAGGACUGUCAAAUGCUUCUUCUAACUCGGUAGCAGAUACUUCAAAUUGUUACCUUUAACUGGAGCGCAAAUGUUACUGAAGAGACUGAAAAUACUUUGACAAUUAUUAUGACAAGGAGGAUGGGGAGAUUUUUCGUUGUUUGUUUCAAGGUUAUCUAAGAUCCUACUAUGCCAAAAGAUUUGGAAGUUUUUUCUUUACUGAAAAGAGAAAAAGAGGGACGUUCAUGAAAAAUGUCACUUUUACUAGCAUUUUCAGAUACCAACUCUUUAUUAUCACAUUGCCACAUGUCAAAUGUUGUCAUAUGGUCGUUUCUAGUUGCCAAAAUAAAGUCGAUAGUGUUCUUUAGGUUAAAGCUUCUGAAUUCUUUGAAAACAUCACGAGCGUCACAGUUUCGCUCUUCUUUUGUUUCUGGCGAAUCUCUUCGUAACUAUCUGUUUGGCCAGUGGAUCUACAUGUGUUAUUUUACAGAUUCUUUGCUGGUAUACAAUGAGUUUGCUCAUUUAUCCAUAUGAACUAGGAUAAAUAGAUGCCUUGGAGGUACGAGCACAGCUGCAAAGCUUUGUUCUAUCAUCAUAGAGUUAUACAAAUCAAAAUGAAAAAUGUCAGUUUUUUCAUCUCUGUCCAGUAUGCACGGGUACUGCUUACUAGCUAUUCUAAUGAUAAUUUUGUUUGAGUUUGUGAUUGCAGAAUGACAGAGUGGUUACUUCAUCUAGUCAGCAUUUUACCUCUGACAGGUGACAACUAGAUCUUUGUUGCGGCGAAUGCGUCAACUUGCUUCAGCAAAUAAGAUUUAUAAAGACAGCGACUUCUUUUGUGAUAUAUCCUGAGCUAGAGUUGUGGUUCUUCCGUCGGAGAUUCAAGGUGCCAAGAUCAGGCAUGUCACCGAUUUGCUUUGCAAUGGGAGCUCUAAAUUAACAAGCAAUAGAGAUAUGCAGGACACUAGUAUUAGACAACCACAAUGUAGUAACCAUAUAUCAGUCUUUUACACUCUAGCAUGUGGAACUAGGAGAAUCAACACACAGAUGUCCGUCAUGAUUUCGAACUUGCUACCAAACCCUGUUUUUCCAAGUAAUGAGUUUCUCCAAUGUAAAUUGACACUUACCAACUUGGUAGCUCAAAUUCAUGUUUCUGUCUCUACUUUAGAUGAAAAAAAUGGUCACUCUGACAACGUCAAGAUUGGAACCGUAUUGAGAUUGUUAGUGAUUAUGUAACAACACAGAACAUCCUAGGAAUGCCAAAAUUUGGGACAGAGCUCUGCAAAUGCCAGCAGCCGCUGGUAUACGACUGAUGCAGUCCUUAUCAAUAUCCCA